UGGGGGAUAUUGCACAAUGGGAGAAAGCCUGAUGCAGCGACGCCGCGUGGGGGAUGAAGGCUUUCGGGUUGUAAACCUCUUUCGCUAUCGAACAAGGCCCGCUUAGGGUGGGUUGAGGGUAGGUGGAGAAGAAGCGCCGGCUAACUACGUGCCAGCAGCCGCGGUAAUACGUAGGGCGCGAGCGUUGUCCGGAAUUAUUGGGCGUAAAGGGCUUGUAGGCGGCUUGUUGCGCCUGCUGUGAAAACGCGGGGCUUAACUUCGCGCGUGCAGUGGGUACGGGCAGGCUUGAGUGUGGUAGGGGUGACUGGAAUUCCAGGUGUAGCGGUGGAAUGCGCAGAUAUCUGGAGGAACACCGAUGGCGAAGGCAGGUCACUGGGCCAUUACUGACGCUGAGGAGCGAAAGCAUGGGUAGCGAACAGG
rnacentral:rRNA from 1 species